GAUCAUCCGUUCAGCCGCCUGCCUUGACAUUAUGCAAUGCAUACCCUCUAUAAUUCAUUCUAUCUUUGAACCACUUCUUGACAUCAUCUAAUAGGUUCUAAGCAAUUAAUGAAGGCAGUUUGCCAAAGUCUUCAUUUCAGAGCAAAUGUAGGGUUUGUCCAGGUUGCUAGCUAUGAGAAGAAAUUAUCAAAGUAUAUCAAUUAAGUUC
rnacentral:lncRNA from 1 species